rnacentral:rRNA from 1 species
GAUGAACGCUGGCGGCGUGCCUAAUACAUGCAAGUCGAGCGAACAGACGGGGAGCUUGCUCCUCUGACGUUAGCGGCGGACGGGUGAGUAACACGUGGAUAACCUACCUAUAAGACUGGGAUAACUUCGGGAAACCGGAGCUAAUACCGGAUAAUAUAUUGAACCGCAUGGUUCCAUAGUGAAAGACGGUUUUGCUGUCACUUAAAGAUGGAUCCGCGCCGCAUUCGCUAGUUGGUAAGGUAAUGGCUUACCAAGGCAACGAUGGGUAGCCGACCUGAGAGGGUGAUCGGCCACACGGGAACUGAGACACGGCCCAGACUCUGGCGGGAGGCAGCGGUAGGGAAUCUUCCGCAAGGGGGGAAAGCCUGACGGAGCAAAGCGGCGUGAGUGAUGAAGCUCUUCGGAUCGUAAAACUCUGUUAGUAGGGAAGAACAAAUGUGUAAUUAACUAUGAACGUCUUGACGGUACCUAAUCAGAAAGCCACGGCUAACUCCGUG